rnacentral:rRNA from 1 species
UACGGAGGGUGCAAGCGUUAUCCGGAUUCACUGGGUUUAAAGGGUGCGUAGGUGGGUUGGUAAGUCAGUGGUGAAAUCUCCGUGCUUAACAUGGAAACUGCCAUUGAUACUACUGAUCUUGAAUUUUCUGGAGGUAAGCGGAAUAUGUCAUGUAGCGGUGAAAUGCUUAGAUAUGACAUAGAACACCAAUUGCGAAGGCAGCUGGCUACACGAAUAUUGACACUCAGGCACGAAAGCGUGGGGAUCAAACAGG